rnacentral:rRNA from 1 species
AGAGUUUGAUUAUGGCUCAGAACGAACGCUGGCGGCGUGCCUAACACAUGCAAGUCGAACGGAGGUAGCAAUACCUUAGUGGCGCACGGGUGAGUAAUGCAUGGGAAUCUGCCUUUUGGAGGGGGAUAACUACGGGAAACUGUAGCUAAGACCGCGUAAGCAGUGCCGUAAGGCACUGGAAAUGCCGGGAGCCGCAAGGUCCGGCAGCCGAAAGAUGAGCCCAUGUUCCAUUAGCUAGUUGGCGGGGUAACAGCCCACCAAGGCGAAGAUGGAUAGCUGGUCUGAGAGGACGAUCAGCCACACUGGGACUGAGACACGGCCCAGACUCCUACGGGAGGCAGCAGUGGGGAAUAUUGCGCAAUGGGGGAAACCCUGACGCAGCAACGCCGCGUGAGUGACGAAGGCCUUCGGGUUGUAAAGCUCUUUCGGUUGGGAAGAAGGGGGAGACGGUUAAUAAGCGUUUCCUUUGAUGGUACCAAAAGAAGAAGCACCGGCAAACUUCGUGCCAGCAGCCGCGGUAAUACGAAGGGUGCAAGCGUUGUUCGGAAUUACUGGGCGUAAAGGGUUCGUAGGCGGGAAUGCAAGUCAAGUGUGAAAUCCCCAGGCUCAACCUGGGACGUGCAUUUGAGACUGUGUUUCUUGAGUUUCGGAGAGGGUGGUGGAAUUGCUGGUGUAGGAGUGACAUCCGUAGAGAUCAGCAGGAACACCGGAGCGAAGCGACCACCUGGCCGAAUACUGACGCUGAGGAACGAAAGCGUGGGGAGCAAACAGGAUUAGAUACCCUGGUAGUCCACGCCGUAAACGAUGAUAACUAGUGUUGGGGGAGUUGACCCCUCCAGUACCGUAGCCCACGCGCUAAGUUAUCCGCCUGGGGAGUACGGUCGCAAGACUAAAACUCAAAGGAAUUGACGGGGCCCGCA